rnacentral:rRNA from 1 species
GAUGAACGCUGGCGGCGUGCCUAAUACAUGCAAGUCGAGCGAACAGAUAAGGAGCUUGCUCCUUUGACGUUAGCGGCGGACGGGUGAGUAACACGUGGGUAACCUACCUAUAAGACUGGAAUAACUCCGGGAAACCGGGGCUAAUGCCGGAUAACAUGUUGAACCGCAUGGUUCUACAGUGAAAGGCGGCUUUGCUGUCACUUAUAGAUGGACCCGCGCCGUAUUAGCUAGUUGGUGAGGUAACGGCUCACCAAGGCAACGAUACGUAGCCGACCUGAGAGGGUGAUCGGCCACACUGGAACUGAGACACGGUCCAGACUCCUACGGGAGGCAGCAGUAGGGAAUCGUCCGCAAUGGGCGAAAGCCUGACGGAGCAACGCCGCGUGAGUGAUGAAGGUCUUCGGAUCGUAAAACUCUGUUAUUAGGGAAGAACAAAUGCGUAAGUAACUGUGCGCGUCUUGACGGUACCUAAUCAGAAAGCCACGGCUAACUACG